AGAUUGAACGCUGGCGGUCUGCUUAACACAUGCAAGUCGAACGGGCGUAGCAAUACGUUAGUGGCGGACGGGUGAGUAACGCGUGAGAAUCUACCUUCAGGACGGAGACAACAGUUGGAAACGACUGCUAACCCCCGAUGUACUGAAAAGGCAAAUAUUUAUAGCCUGAAGAAGAGCUCGCGUCCGAUUAGCUAGUUGGAGAGGUAAAAGCUCACCAAGGCGACGAUCGGUAGCUGGUCUGAGAGGACGAUCAGCCACACUGGGACUGAGACACGGCCCAGACUCCUACGGGAGGCAGCAGUGGGAAUUUUCCGCAAUGGGCGAAAGCCUGACGGAGCAAGACCGCGUGGGGGAAGAAGGCUCUUGGGUUGUAAACCCCUUUUCUCUGGGAAGAAAGUUGUGAAAGCAGCCUGACGGUACCAGAGGAAUCAGCAUCGGCUAACUCCGUGCCAGCAGCCGC
rnacentral:rRNA from 1 species